GACGAACCGUGCGAACGUUAUUCGGAAUCACUGGGCUUAAAGCGCGUGUAGGCGGGCCGGCACGUCGGCUGCUGAAAUCCCCCGGCUCAACCGGGGAAGGGGCACCGAUACGACCGGCCUGGAGGGGGUAGGGGGGACGGGAACUUCCGGUGGAGCGGUGAAAUGCGUUGAGAUCGGAAGGAACGCCCGCGGCGAAAGCGCGUCCCUGGACCCCACCUGACGCUGGAGACGCGAAAGCCAGGGGAGCGAACGGG
rnacentral:rRNA from 1 species